rnacentral:rRNA from 1 species
CGACGAGUUUGAUCCUGGCUCAGGACGAACGCUUGCGGCGUGCCUAAGAAAUGCAAGUCGAACGGGGACUUCGGUCCUAGUGGCGAACGGUCGCGUAACACGUAAGCAACCUGCCCUGAAGUGGGGGACAACAUCCCGAAAGGGGUGCUAAUACCGCAUGUGGUCACGAGUCGGCAUCGACUUGUGUCUAAAGAUUUAUCGGCAAAGGAUCGGCCCGCGUUGGAUUAGGUAGUUGGUGGGGUAAUGGCCUACCAAGCCGACGAUCCAUAGCUGGUUUGAGAGGAUGAUCAUCCACACUGGGACUGAGACACGGCCCAGACUCCUACGGGAGGCAGCAGUGGGGAAUCUUAGACAAUGGGCGCAAGCCUGAUCUAGCCAUGCCGCGUGAUCGAUGAAGGCCUUAGGUUGUAAAGAUCUUUCGUGGGGGUAAGAUAAUGACGGUACCCCAAGACGAGCCCCGGCUAACUCCGUGCCAGCAGCCGCGGUAAUCUGAUGGCGCG